UACGUCCACAUCACGUUGAAACACGUGUUCUUGUACGAUUGCCGAAGUUAAGCAUCAUCGACACUGUUCAGUACUUCGGUGGGUGAGCGAUUGGGAAAAACAGAUGCUGUAA